rnacentral:rRNA from 1 species
AGUGAACGCUGGCGGUAGGCCUAACACAUGCAAGUCGAACGGCAGCACAGUAAGAGCUUGCUCUUACGGGUGGCGAGUGGCGGACGGGUGAGGAAUACAUCGAAAUCUACUUUUUCGUGGGGGAUAACGUAGGGAAACUUACGCUAAUACCGCAUACGACCUACGGGUGAAAGCAGGGGAUCUUCGGACCUUGCGCGAUUGAAUGAGCCGAUGUCGGAUUAGCUAGUUGGCGGGGUAAAGGCCCACCAAGGCGACGAUCCGUAGCUGGUCUGAUAGGAUGAUCAGCCACACUGGAACUGAGACACGGUCCAGACUCCUACGGGAGGCAGCAGUGGGGAAUAUUGGACAAUGGGCGCAAGCCUGAUCCAGCCAUACCGCGUGGGUGAAGAAGGCCUUCGGGUUGUAAAGCCCUUUUGUUGGGAAAGAAAGGCAGCAGGUUAAUACCCCGCUGUUCUGACGGUACCCAAAGAAUAAGCACCGGCUAACUUCGUG